GACGAACGCUGGCGGCGUGCCUAAUACAUGCAAGUCGAACGCAGUGGGGACGGGUGAGUAACACGUGGGUAACCUCCCAUCAGAGGGGAUAACACUUGGAAACAGGUGCUAAACCGAUACUGAUGGAUGAACCCGCGGUGCAUUAGCUAGUUGGUGAGGUAACGGCCACCCAGGGCCACGAUGCAUAGCCGACCUGAGAGGGUGAUCGGCAACACGGGUACUGAGAGACGGCCCAGACGCCUACGGGAGGCAGCAGUAGGGAAUCUUCGGCAAUGGACGAAAGGGUGACCGAGCAACGCCGCGUGAGUGAAGGAGGUUUUAGGAUCGUAAAACUGUGUAGUUAGAGAAGCGGUAUCUAACCAGAAAGCCACGGCUAACUACGUGCCAGCAGCCGCGGUAAUAC
rnacentral:rRNA from 1 species